rnacentral:rRNA from 1 species
CUACGGGGCGCACCAGUGAGGAAUAUUGCACAAUGGGGGGAACCCUGAUGCAGCAACGCCGCGUGGAGGAUGACGCAUUUCGGUGUGUAAACUCCUUUUAUAUGUCAAGAAAAUGACGGUAGCAUAUGAAUAAGCACCGGCUAACUCCGUGCCAGCAGCCGCGGUAAUACGGAGGGUGCAAGCGUUACUCGGAAUCACUGGGCGUAAAGGACGCGUAGGCGGGUUGGAAAGUCAGGUGUGAAAUCCUACAGCUUAACUGUAGAACUGCACUUGAAACUUCUAAUCUAGAGUAUGGGAGGGGGAGAUGGAAUUAGUGGUGUGGGGGUAAAAUCCGUAGAUAUCACUAGGAAUACCUAAAGCGAAGGCGAUCUCCUGGAACAUUACUGACGCUAAGGCGUGAAAGCGUGGGGAGCAAACAGGAUUGGAUACCCGGGUAGUC